rnacentral:tRNA from 1 species
UAUGGCAGAUUAGUGCAAUGAAUUUAAGAUUCAUUUAUAAAGAUUUAUUCUUUUUUUAGAAAAAU